CGAAGCCGCCGAAUCUCGCCGCCGGCGCUCCCCAGUCGCCACUGCGCCACUCCCUCCCUCCCUACGUUCCUCCAGACUGCUCCGUGCUGUCUCACGCGCCUCCCUGUAUUCUCAUCUCCAGGCGCCACCGUCUCGAUCGACCGUCGGCGCCGCCGUCUCGAUCCACCGCCGGCGCCACCUCUCGAUCGACAGCCGGCGCCACCUCUAGAUCUACCGUCAGCGCCACCGUCUCGAUCGACCGCCUGCGCCACCUCUCGAUCGACCGCCGGCGCCAUCGUGUCCUACCGCCUCGACCGACUGCCGAUCUCAAAGAUCAAGUUUUUCCCACGGCCAGACGGAACCUCCUCUUCCUGAUACCACACACGGGGAGGGGAGGAUGCGCACCCGAGUGAUUGGUAAUUGCGGUACCCAUCUUCCCUUCUCAUCCUCUAAAUCCCUCUUCUACAAACAAACAAACAAAAAUCUGAGUUCUGGUGACACUCUAUUUAUGUCUUAUUCUUCAGGAUCCCAAGGAUGGAGUGGUUUAUUGGUUCUCUAGGCUCCGACCUAUAUUUUCUUUCUCAAAAUUGUUUCUCACAACUCAGAUGAGAUAGCUUGUUGGCUAGUAGCUUGGGGUUUCCCCAUAGGUAAUUGAUAUAGGACAUGAUAAUUUCACAUUUGAUAUUGAUAGUACUUGAUACAUGCUCGCUUCAGUUUAUGCAUCUGAAUCUUCUUCUAUGUGUAGUUGCUUUCAAGAUGGUUUCCAUUUAUCACAGGAACCAACAAGUAAAGAGGAAUGCAUCUUGCCCAAAGCAGCGGCUAAUUCUUACUGGCGCAUGUAUGCAGGCAUAAGUACAAGCUAGAAACAAUGCAGCGAUCCAUAAAUGUUGAGUCUGAACCUGUGUCGUUAACUGACUUGCUGAGGUAUGAUCAAUGCAUAGGUUAAGUUGGGUAAUGCCGAGUUACAUGUGACUUUUCCUCACCUUCCUCUUGAUACAUUCACAUGAUUUCUAGUACAAGUGUUGUACCCAGUUAUGUGUAAUAUGCUUACUGCCUAUUUCUUAUUAUACAUGUACAGGAAGUUAGUAACCUCAAAUAGUUAAUUUUGUAGAAAAUUUGGUAGCCUCGAAUAAUGAUUUUUGUCACCUUAGCCAAUGUGCUUUUUGCCACACCACUGUGACAAGAUUCCCUUUGGCUUGCCAACUUGUGGCUUCAUUUGUAUUGAACUAACCUUAGGCAAGUUAGGCAAAUAAUGUGUAGCAAAAUGGGGCAUUGCAAGGCAUAUGCACUGCUUUUUUACAGAAAAGAAUAUCAGCUUCCCACUAGGAAUUUUACAAGCAUUUAGCUGCUCACAUGUUAUUUGUUUUAUACACAAGAAUGUUUGACUAAGUUCCCCAGACAUGUAUCUGACCCUUCGCUGUCCCAGUAAUUAUCUCCAUAGAUUCCUGUUCAUAAAAAAUGCUUUGAACAUGUGCUAAGGCUUCAGCUAUUGAGCUUCUGAUGGGCUUCUGUUGCGGAAGACCUACUGCCCUAACUGCAUUUGUAUCUUCUGAAAUUUCUGUAAUAGUUGCCGCAUUUGCUAGGUUUAUAAUCUUCAUUCUGCCAAUCUUUUCACCUGCAAUGAAUAAUACCCCUAUUAAGUCAGGCGAAACGAUUGGAAGAAUGAAGAUUAUAAACUUGUAUCAACCGCAGCUAAUGAAUGAAAUAAUACCUGUUCUUGUGUCAUGCGAUGUCAAAUAGGAUAUUAGUACAUCGGAUGCUUCGUCGAUUGUAUAACAGUGUAGCCUCCAUGAAGGCAGGAACCUGAUUCGCCUCAGCAGUUCUCCCUUAUCAUCAAACAAGGAAACCUGAUUUCUAUAUCUCACCAAUAAUAGUAGCUCAUCUUCAGUCUGUAGGAUGUGUAUCCCCCUUGGAUUACUCUUACAAACUGAUUUAGCCACAGAAGGCUCUUCUUUGAGCUGGAUCAUAAUUCAGGAGGAGCAAACACUUGUAAGUUGAGAUCAAGGUUUCAUAAUAAUAAAAUCUAGUUACUUGUAUGUAAUAAACCUACAUCUGUGAUUCGGACUCGCAUAUUUUCCUCUUGUAGCACCACUUUAGUUGAAAUAGAUUGUAUGAAUCUAACUUCACUGUAAUUCUUGAGAAGAACAUAACACCUUUCUGUCAGGCCUCCGGUUUUGAGAGAGUGUGUUUGGAUAGGAAAGAGGCCCUUCAGGUCAGGUCUGUGGCUUGUCACUAAGAUAUUAUUGCUGCAAUACAUAUAAGUUGUCAGUAUGCAACAGUGAAAACAAAUGCUGCCUUUUGAAGCCUAGACUAGUACCUCAGAUUGUAGCACUCCAUGCCUGGCAUUGUGAUCUGAUGAAGUAAACUGCCGUUCCUUGUGCUAAAAAUUCUCAUAACGCUGAUGGGAAAAAUGUUUGUUUAUUUUAUUAGAUUAGACAACAAUAAAUAAAUAAAUAAAUAAAUAAAAUACAAACAAAUAUUGGAAAGUGUUCAAUUUAUGUGUACCUAGUUUUUUUAGAAAAUACCACUGCCUUUUCAGCACCGGCAGAUAAUUUCACAUGUUCCGGAUUCGUAAUUUCAGAUACAGAAAACAUUCUUAUCUGUUGGGGCACGCGGAUCGCCAUCCUUAUAGACCUAGAAAUGAAACCAGGUAGGAUCAAAAUGCACAAUUCUUUUGUUUCAAGUUAUGUAGCUGAUAGAAUGCUAAAUAUUUGUUAGAAUGCUAAAUGUUCUAUUAUAAGAAAGGAGGCAUAACAAUGUCAUAUAUAUGCACAGGAGAAGUUUUAUGUGGUAGCUUUCCAAUAUGCAACCAUUCUGUCCUCCAAUCCUGUUUUAUGUUAUGUUCUUUUUAAAGCACCAUAUAUAUCUGUUAAACUGCAGCCUUGUAACUAGGUUUGGUUCUGAAAUAUCAUAUUGAUAUUGAUUUCUACUGAAUAUCCCCUUCUCUACAGGUAACUUGGGCCGUCUUGACAGCGAGGCUCCACCGUUCCUCUACUUGCUGCAGCUGCCCACGCCCCUCUCUACUUGCUCCACCUGUGAUUAGUUGAAUCUUUUUGUCGUUGUCAUUAACAGCUGCUACUCUAACAAUGUUUCGACACUAUUGUUGUGCUGGUCCUUCUACUGUUGUUUUCUUUCAUUCAACAGUAUAACAACAGUACUGUUUUGAACUUGUAAGUUUUGUGAUGUUGCUUGUUUAGUUCUGCAGAAAUACAACAACAAGCAGUACUUAAGAGUAAUACUGAUGCUCAUGAAUACAGUAAUAAAACUUACUCGAGUGGUACUUUGGCGCA
rnacentral:lncRNA from 1 species